rnacentral:rRNA from 1 species
CCUACGGGUGGCAGCAGUGGGGAAUAUUGGACAAUGGGGGGAACCCUGAUCCAGCCAUGCCGCGUGUGUGAAGAAGGCCCUCGGGUUGUAAAGCACUUUCAGUGAGGAAGAACGCCUGGUGGUUAAUACCCAUCAGGAAAGACAUCACUCACAGAAGAAGCACCGGCUAACUCCGUGCCAGCAGCCGCGGUAAUGCGGAGGGUGCGAGCGUUAAUCGGAAUUACUGGGCGUAAAGCGCGCGUAGGUGGCUUGAUAAGCCGGUUGUGAAAGCCCCGGGCUCAACCUGGGAACGGCAUCCGGAACUGUCAAGCUAGAGUGCAGGAGAGGAAGGUAGAAUUCCCGGUGUAGCGGUGAAAUGCGUAGAGAUCGGGAGGAAUACCAGUGGCGAAGGCGGCCUUCUGGACUGACACUGACACUGAGGUGCGAAAGCGUGGGUAGCAAACAGGAUUAGAUACCCGGGUAGUC